rnacentral:rRNA from 1 species
CCUACGGGCGGCAGCAGUAGGGAAUCUUUCACAAUGGGCGAAAGCCUGAUGGAGCAACGCCGCGUGCAGGAUGAAGGCCUUCGGGUUGUAAACUGCUUUUAUAAGCGAGAAAUAUGAUGGUAACUUAUUAAUAAGGAUUGGAUAACAACGGGACAGGAGCCGCGGUCAUACGUAGGAUCCGAGGAUCAGCCGGUGUGACUGGGUGUAAAGAGGUGCGUAGGGGGCAGAAUUAGUAGCUAGUGAAAUCUGGUGGCUCAACCAUUCAGACGAUUAGCUAAACUGUUAAGCUCGAGACCGUUAGGGGUAACUGGAAUUUCUAGUGUAGGAGUGAAAUCCGUAGAUAUUAGAAGGAACACCAAUAGCGUAGGCAGGUUACUGGGACGGUUCUGACACUGAGGCACGAAAGCGUAGGGAGCAAACGGGAUUAGAUACCCGGGUAGUC